GGGGAAUAUUGCGCAAUGGGGGGAACCCUGACGCAGCAACGCCGCGUGGAGGAAGAAGGUCUUCGGAUUGUAAACUCCUGUCUUCUGGGACGAUAAUGACGGUACCAGAGGAGGAAGCCACGGCUAACUACGUGCCAGCAGCCGCGGUAAUACGUAGGUGGCGAGCGUUGUCCGGAAUUACUGGGCGUAAAGGGCGCGUAGGCGGUUCUUUAAGUUAGAUGUGAAAACCCGAGGCUUAACUUCGGGACUGCAUUUAAAACUGGAGGGCUUGAGUGCAGGAGAGGUAAGUGGAAUUCCUAGUGUAGCGGUGAAAUGCGUAGAUAUUAGGAGGAACACCAGUGGCGAAGGCGACUUACUGGACUGUAACUGACGCUGAGGCGCGAAAGCGUGGGGAGCAAAC
rnacentral:rRNA from 1 species